CCGCUGAACUUAAGCAUAUCAAUAAGCGGAGGAAAAGAAACCAACAGGGAUUGCCCUAGUAACGGCGAGUGAAGCGGCAACAGCUCAAAUUUGAAAUCUGGCCCUUGGGUCCGAGUUGUAAUUUGUAGAGGAUGUUUUUGGUGCGGUAUCUUCCGAGUUCCUUGGAACAGGACGCCUUAGAGGGUGAGAGCCCCGUACGGUUGAAUGCCUAGCCUUUGUAAAACUCCUUCGACGAGUCGAGUAGUUUGGGAAUGCUGCUCUAAAUGGGAGGUAAAUUUCUUCUAAAGCUAAAUACUGGCCAGAGACCGAUAGCGCACAAGUAGAGUGAUCGAAAGAUGAAAAGCACUUUGAAAAGAGGGUUAAAUAGCACGUGAAAUUGUUGAAAGGGAAGGAUUUAUGACCAGACUUUUUCUGGGCGGAUCAUCCGGUGUUCUCACCGGUGCACUUCGCUCAGUUUAGGCCAGCAUCGAUUUUCGGUGGGGGAUAAAAGCUUUAGGAAUGUGGCUCCUCCGGGAGUGUUAUAGCCUAUUGUAUAAUACCCUACUGGGGAUCGAGGUACGCGCUUCUGCAAGGAUGCUGGCGUAAUGGUUAUCAAUCACCCGUCUUGAAACACGGACCAAGGAGUCGAACAUUUGUGCAAGUGUUUGGGUGUUAAACCCUCACGCGUAAUGAAAGUGAACGGAGGUGAGAGCCCUUACGGGUGCAUCAUCGACCGAUCCUGAUGUUUUCGGAUGGAUUUGAGUAAGAGCAUAACUGUUCGGACCCGAAAGAUGGUGAACUAUGCGUGGAUAGGGUGAAGCCAGAGGAAACUCUGGUGGAGGCUCGCAGCGGUUCUGACGUGCAAAUCGAUCGUCAAAUCUGCGCAUGGG
rnacentral:rRNA from 1 species